UACGUAGGGUGCAAGCGUUAAUCGGAAUUACUGGGCGUAAAGCGUGCGCAGGCGGUUAUGUAAGACAGUUGUGAAAUCCCCGGGCUCAACCUGGGAACUGCAUCUGUGACUGCAUAGCUAGAGUACGGUAGAGGGGGAUGGAAUUCCGCGUGUAGCAGUGAAAUGCGUAGAUAUGCGGAGGUACACCGAUGGCGAAGGCAAUCCCCUGGACCUGUACUGACGCUCAUGCACGAAAGCGUGGGGAGCAAACAGG
rnacentral:rRNA from 1 species